CCUACGGGUGGCUGCAGUGGGGAAUUUUCCACAAUGGGCGAAAGCCUGAUGGAGCAACGCCGCGUGUGUGAUGAAGGUCUUCGGAUCGUAAAGCACUUUCGACCGGGACGAAAAACCUCUGGCUAACAUCCAGGGGCCUGACGGUACCGGGAGAAGAAGCACCGGCUAACUCUGUGCCAGCAGCCGCGGUAAUACAGAGGGUGCAAGCGUUGUUCGGAAUCGUUGGGAGUAGGGUUGGUGUAGGAGAUUUGAAAGCCCAUGGCUUAACCAUGGAAGUGCGUCUGAAACUGCCGAGCUUGAGUGCCGGAGAGGAUGGCGGAAUUCCGCAAGUAGAGGUGAAAUUCGUAGAUAUGCGGAGGAACACCGGUGGCGAAGGCGGCCAUCUGGACGGUAACUGACGCUGAGACGCGAAAGCGUGGGGAGCAAACAGGAUUAGAUACCCCAGUAGUC
rnacentral:rRNA from 1 species